AACGCACAUUGCGCCCCUUGGUAUUCCGAGGGGCAUGCCUGUUCGAGCGUCAUUAUGACCACUCAAGCCCGGCUUGGUGUUGGGGUCCGCGGUCCCGCGGCCCUUAAAAUCAGUGGCGGCGCCAUCUGGCUCUAAGCGUAGUAAUACUCCUCGCUAUAGGGUUCCCGGUGGAUGCUUGCCAUCAACCCCCAAUCUCACGGUUGACCUCGGAUCAGGUAGGGAUACCCGCUGAACUUAA
rnacentral:misc_RNA from 3 species